rnacentral:misc_RNA from 1 species
AGGUGAACCUGCGGAAGGAUCAUUACCGAGUUCAUGCCCUUACGGGUAGAUCUCCCACCCUUUGUAUACUAUACCUUUGUUGCUUUGGCGGGCCGCCUAGCUACUGGUUUCGGCUGGUAAGUGCCCGCCAGAGAACCCAAAACCCUGAAUUAUUAGUGUCGUCUGAGUAAAAUAUUUAAUAUUUAAAACUUUCAACAACGGAUCUCUUGGCUCUGG